rnacentral:lncRNA from 1 species
AUGGACCCAGCCCACAGCCAGGUUAACACAGUGGUAAGAACAGCUUCCUUCACUGAGGCCCAAAGCCAUCAUGUUCCACCUGACCACCAAGUAAGCUUUCAAGACUUGGAGCAUUUCCAGUACGUGCUAUUUUUACUUGGAAAAGGUAGAACAAAUACAGCCAUCAGAUUAAUACAACUACCCAGCAGGUGCUCACUUUCAGACAGAACAGGAUGCUGGCAAGGAUUUGAUGACAGAAGAAUGGAGAAGGGGAUAAGACAACAUGGGAAGAUGAGAAAGAAGAAACAUGAAGAACAGACGAAACUGUUCUUGCAAUAUUAUUACUGAAGGGGAAGAACAAAGCAAAGCUAGGAAGAAUGCAAAGUAGGGCAGGAUGAUUGACAGCAUUGCCGUAAUACACUCCUUAUACAAAGCAACACUGAAAGUCUUCCUUCUACAUCUCUUUUGACUUAGGGCACGUACUUUUUAUAGUCGUACCCUUUACCACAAAGGCAAAGCAGUAGUUAGAAAUAUUAUUUGAAGAAAAUAAGUAAUACAAGUUUCUAAAACAUUUUCAGACUUAUCUAUAAUAAAUCAGUAAUAUGAGCUGAUAUAAUACCUGAG